rnacentral:rRNA from 1 species
AGUAGGAUAAAAGCGGAGGUAUUCGGGGAGACAGGUGGUGCAUGGUUGUCGUCAGCUCGUGUCGUGAGAUGUGGGUUAAGUCCCGCAACGAGCGCAACCCUAUUGCUAGUUACCAUCAUUAAGUUGGGGACUCUAGCGAGACUGCCAGUGAUAAACUGGAGGAAGGUGGGGAUGACGUCAAAUCAUCAUGCCCCUUAUGACCUGGGCUACAAACGUGAUACAAUGGCUGGAACAAAGGGAUGCGAAGCAGUGAUGUGGAGCGAAACCCAUAAAAACAGUCUCAGUUCGGAUUGAAGUCUGCAACUCGACUUCAUGAAGUCGGAAUCGCUAGUAAUCGCGGAUCAGAACGCCGCGGUGAAUACGUUCUCGGGGUUU